AUUGAACGCUGGCGGCAGGCCUAACACAUGCAAGUCGAACGGUAACAGGAAGCAGCUUGCUGCUUUGCUGACGAGUGGCGGACGGGUGAGUAAUGUCUGGGAAACUGCCCGAUGGAGGGGGAUAACUACUGGAAACGGUAGCUAAUACCGCAUAACGUCGCAAGACCAAGAGGGGGACCUUAGGGCCUCUUGCCAUCGGAUGUUCCCAGAUGGGAUUAGCUAGUAGGUGGGGUAACGGCUCACCUAGGCGACGAUCCCUAGCUGGUCUGAGAGGAUGACCAGCCACACUGGAACUGAGACACGGUCCAGACUCCUACGGGAGGCAGCAGUGGGGAAUAUUGCACAAUGGGCGCAAGCCUGAUGCAGCCAUGCCGCGUGUAUGAAGAAGGCCUUCGGGUUGUAAAGUACUUUCAGCGGGGAGGAAGGGAGUAAAGUUAAUACCUUUGCUCAUUGACGUUACCCGCAGAAGAAGCACCGGCUAACUCCGUG
rnacentral:rRNA from 1 species